GACAGCCUAAUACAUGCAAGUCGAGCGAAUGGAUUGAGAGCUUGCUCUCAAGAAGUUAGCGGAGGACGGGUGAGUAACACGUGGGUAACCUGCCCAUAAGACUGGGAUAACUCCGGGAAACCGGGGCUAAUACCGGAUAAUAUUUUGAACUGCAUGGUUCGAAAUUGAAAGGCGGCUUCGGCUGUCACUUAUGGAUGGACCCGCGUCGCAUUAGCUAGUUGGUGAGGUAACGGCUCACCAAGGCAACGAUGCGUAGCCGACCUGAGAGGGUGAUCGGCCACACUGGGACUGAGACACGGCCCAGACUCCUACGGGAGGCAGCAGUAGGGAAUCUUCCGCAAUGGACGAAAGUCUGACGGAGCAACGCCGCGUGAGUGAUGAAGGCUUUCGGGUCGUAAAACUCUGUUGUUAGGGAAGAACAAGUGCUAGUUGAAUAAGCUGGCACCUUGACGGUACCUAACCAGAAAAGCCACGGCUAACUACGUGCCAGCAGCCGGCCGGUAAUACGUAGUGGGCCAANGCGGUUUAUUCCCGGGAAUUUAUNUGGGGGGCGUAAA
rnacentral:rRNA from 1 species